GUUCACAGCCAUACCACUCAGAACACGGCCAACGUCAUCCGACCCUAGAAGCCAAGCAGGGUCAGGCCUGGGUAGAUACAGCUGUCCCUUGAUUUGGAACUCUCAUGGGUGGGCAGGUGCAGUGGCCU
rnacentral:rRNA from 1 species